AUCUUUUUUUAAAUAAAUAAAUGGUAUUCGAUUUUUAAAACCAAGGAGUUUUCAAUUAAAAAGAUUUUAAUAUGACAGGGACAGUGGAAAUAUUCCAUUCCCGAUACUUUUAGUGCAGCCUAUGUAUCUUCACGAUGUAAGCAGUCCAACCUAGCUGCACAGGGGCUCGCAGGAAUCCGGUGAUCUUGCAAGUUUCCCCGACACCCGUCGCCCGACACCCGACACACGACACCCGACGACGACCGCGCGAGCAGGAGCGCGCUGCGCUGGGUCGCAGAGGGGAGGGUGUAAUACUGGCAAAUUAUUUUGACGAUUUAAAAAACACCUGUAAAACUUUAUUAGAAUAAAAAUAUAUUCAAACACGACUUCACGCUGCGAGUGGUUAAUGGCGUCCCGCUAGUGGUCUAAUGCAAAAAUGUACUUACGAUUAGUUAUCGAAUUAAGGUCUACUACACACUAUACAGACGAUGUGUCACCCGAAACAUGACGCGCGACAACACCACCGCGCCGUGCGAAUGUGUAAACGCAUCUUUAUAUCACACCGAUGUGUAGCGCAGCUCAACCUCCGUGAGCGCUCCGACUGUACUGCGCAUCUGCAACUGUGCGGUGUUGCAGCAGUGCUCGCUGCGCGCGCGCCGCCCGCGCGGCCGCGGACACGCCCUAUUCCAUUUCUCUGUGAUUCGCUUUAACAAAAUAAAAGCAUACCUCUGUUAUAGUUCAGAAGAGAACUGUUAGAUCAUAAGUUUAGUGUACGGAGAGUUCAUAGUUGACGCUAUACGAGUAUGACGGGAGAAAUUGUUUGUUCUGUAGGCAGAGGCACGGACAGAGUCCAUUUUCUGAUGAUCGAUGGAACAAAAAGAUCGAGUUGUAUGGAACUGGCAUUUUGAAGAGUCGUCGUUCCGUACACUUCGGUCCCUCCACUCGCAUCGGCGUUUUGGACACCGACGAGUGUCGUUAUGAGUUCGUGUGGCGUGCGACAGGAAGCCUCCGGGCUCCUGUCCGUGCGUCCUCUUGCGACGCGACAGUCGCGACACGCACGUCGCGAUCGCUCACUCUACGAUCUACCAUCCACAUGCACGAGCCUACAGAAAGUGUAUUCGGUCCUGAAGUCCAGUUCCGUCAAGUGACGAGAGUCGCCCCGUGCCAAAUAGUUGUAAGCGGACGAUGCGGAGCUCGAAGUGGCUCGAAGGCUCGGAACUACUACAGUUUGUUUACUAUCUCAUCAUAAGUAAUAGGUACUUAUUUUCUCAGAAUAUUAUGUUCCAAUCUUGUCCUAAAUAAGAAUUUUUAAAUAUUAAUUUACAAAUUUCAAUUCAAUUACAAAUCAGUGCUAGCCCCUUCUUGUAAUCUCAGGCGAACCUAAUACGUAAUUUUGAUAAGUACCUAACAGUAUAUAAUUUGAGAUCAUGAACGCAUAACUAACAAGUGAGAAAUACUUACUAUUAUCUGUUCCGAUGAUAUGAUAUAUGAUGAUAUGAGUAGAUAUUUUAAAUUAUAAUGAUUGUUUAAUGUUUUUAUUGGAGUAGUUUCGGGUCCGAGUAACCUGGCCGUGUGUUCGGCGCCAGGUCGCGGUAUGUAAUUAUAUGUAUGUAACUAGCGUGUGUUCGCCAGACAAUACUGACGAAGCUCUUCAUUCGGGAAAUAGACAAUAAGAGAUAAUACGUCUUGUUCCGUUUAUUCACCCUAUGGCGGCUCCUGGGGUGUGCACUCGGAGACGUGCGUCCGUUCAGCCCGGCGCGGGCGCGGGCGCGCGCCGACCGAGUGUACACCCCUGCAGGGUGGCUGUUGUAGGUUGCGUAGUACGCACUACAACUGAACUGCACGUGACUGCACUACGCGGCACAGAGCGGCAAAAUAUUCUUUCUAUCGUUUUGUUUGGAGCAUACUGCAGUAUACUAUGCGUACGGCGCUCACAUGCGAUGCACGUGCUUUGGGUUAGGUAAUAUGUGUGUUGGCGUGAUAGAACGCAAAAUAAAUAACGAAAUUUUAAUUUUUGGCACAUGACGUGUUCCUUAUGCUUUUAGAAAUAUAUCCUCAAAAUUGCCAACCCCUAGGAUGCCCCUAGGAACAAUGAAGUAAUAAUAAAAGCCUCUUCACUGUCGCUCAUCUUGCGACGUUGUUGCUCGUACGCGAACGGGUAUAGAAGUGACGUGGACGUGACGCGAGCUGCCGCGUACUGCAGUUGUAGUGCGAUAGGUACCGUGAGCGGCAUGAAAGGACUUGCCGCGCAGUUCCGCUGCAGUUCAGUUAUAGUACGUGGCCACCUUUAUACUAGACUAAGUACGAUGAUCGGCCGAGUCGCGAGUCCCGCGUGACGUCACCCGGGCGUCGGCAGUGGGAAUCGGUCGACGUCACACUGAGCGCGCGGGACACGCGAGUCCCGCGUGAUGUCACACUCGGCGCGCGGGACACGCGAGUCCCGCGUGAUGUCACACUCGGCGCGCGGGACACGCGAGUCCCGCGUGACGUCACACUCGGCGCGCGGGACACGCGAGUCCCGCGUGAUGUCACACUCGGCGCGCGGGACACGCGAGUCCCGCGUGACGUCACACUCGGCGCGCGGGACACGCGAGUCCCGCGUGACGUCACACUCGGCGCGCGGGACACGCGAGUCUCGCGUGACGUCACACUGGGCGCGCGGGACGGCUGACUCGCGCCCUCUUCACGAAACCUAUUUAUUAAGACUAAAGCAAUAAAGUGAUAUUUUUGUACUAA